CUCUUCUACUUCCUUCCGUUUCUUUCCUUCGCCUCUGCUUGAGUUUUUGAUGAACGCAGUGGACGCUAUUGAGAUGGUCUUGUGAUGAUAAAGAUCAAAUUAAGUAUUAGGUGUUGUUGCUGGUGUUGAAACGGUGAUUUACAAAGAGGAUAAUUAGAUAUUGAGGAAGUAAAUCACAGAGAAGCAGAAUUUAGUUGUUUAAGGUUGGUUUUAUGUGAAAUUAAGAUGUGAAGCGAGUUGCGGAUGGAUGAAUAAGAAGAGGGUUUAUGUUUAUUGGACGUUUUUGAGUUGUUCUUAUGAUUGAAUCAAAAUUAGGGUUUCUUUGUGAAUUGAUGAAGGUUUGAUUUGAGAUCUUAAAAGGGAGAUUUGAGAUGGGUUUUGAUCAGGUAUGAAGUAGUAAUGUUUGCAUGGGUUUAAUUUUGAUUUCAGUUCCUCAUGUUCUUCCCCAAAUUAGAAUUAGGGUUUCUGAAUUCAUUGGAAAUUAGAGUUGAGUUGAUUAAGGAGAAAUUAAAGAUUGGGUAUGGUUGGUAUGAAAAGUUAGAAUUAUCUUUUGAACUCAGAAACUAUAGGAUUUGGAAUUGGUUAUAGGGUUUCUGAGAAUCAGGGAUGUUGAUAGAUAUUUGGGAGUUGUUGUUAGUCUGAGGACAAGUUGAUGAUUUGAGUCAGGUGAAGAAGAACUUGAAUUCUAUUAUCUGAGUAUUUCUAAUUGAGAUUGUAGAUUAAGUUUAUGCAUUGAAUGACAGUUGAGGAUUGUAUGCUUGAGAUGUAGAAGUUGGUGUCCUGUGUGGAAUUGAAUGUAAGUUAUGGUCAUCCUGUAUUGUUAAUGGUGUUGUUAAAGAAGAGCUUAAUGAGAAUACUGUAGAAUCAGUGGUAUGGUAAUGGAAGUAUACAAAGGUAGUGGUGUUGCUGGUGAACUGAGUUAGGUGUUUUGAAGAUGUUCUGGUGGUGGCUGAAGCUGACAAAUGUUAUAUGAGCUGAACUCGGCGUUAGUGAACUGAUGUAAAUGUGUUGUUUGAGUUGAGGAUAUUAGUUGUAUUUGCUGGUACUAAUGGAAUGAAAUGAAGUUGAAGUUAUGAUGCAGUUCGUAUUGGGUUACAGAGAACUGUGAUGAGUUUCAGGGAAUGUUGUGGAACUGAAUAGAAAUGUUUAAGUAGAAGUUGGUUGUUAUGUUGAUAGCAUAGGCCUUAGUGAAAGCCUACAACUGCAAUUGCAGGUAAACUUAGUUGAGCGUUGUAUUUGAUUUAUCAAGUUUGUUUAAGAUAAAUGUAUUGUUUUUUUGAAUUAUAGUUA